UACAGAGGGUGCGAACGUUGUUCGGAAUCACUGGGCAUAAAGCGCACGUAGGCGGCACCGCAAGUGUGGGGUGAAAUCCCACGGCUUACCCGUGGAACUGCCUGGCAGACUGCGGUGCUAGAGGUUGGUAGGGGAGAGCGGAACUCUUGGUGGAGCGGUGAAAUGCGUAGAUAUCAAGAAGAACACCGGUGGCGAAGGCGGCUAUCUGGACGGUCACUGACGCUGAGAUGCGAAAGCGUGGGGAGCAAACAGG
rnacentral:rRNA from 1 species